rnacentral:snRNA from 1 species
AGAUGUGAGGGCGAUCUGGCUGUGACAUCUGUCACCCCAUUGGUCGCUGGGGUUGAUUUGGCUGAUCUGGCUGGCUAGGUGGGUAUUCCCUUUCUCCCUUACCACUCCACUCGUGUCCCUCCCAAAGCUGCAUGCUCCGUUGAAGAGGACAAACAAACAAACCAAAGACAAUAAAGUUACUUAUCACA